UACAACAUAUGUACAGAUGAAAAGGAUUUGGUUAUACUGAGAAAUCUGGCAUCACCUAGUUACAUGAGGGAAUCCUUUCGAUUCUUUUGUUCCAAUUUUGAGCAUUAUGCCAAUUCCAGUCGAUGUAUUCGAGACCUUGAUCCAGAAAUGCAGGAGUGCAUUAAUAAAGAAUAUGCAUUAUUAAACACAAGGCUUAAAAGAAGGAAGAUUCUACAUGAUGUGCUCCCUGUGUACUGCCGCUACCUACACGAAACCACGUCUUGCAUAGAGAACCCAGUUCGUCGCGACUGUGAGCAGCCAUACUGCAGACAUAAUCAUCGUGUUCACCGAUGGUAUCAGGCCUCCUAUGUGUGAUCGAUCCAGCCCUAUUGGAAAUGGUUGUGCCCGCCCACGACUGGUUCAUCUUGCGCUCUGCCUAUUCCUCUUCUGUUCCGAGUAAACUGUUA